GCACCUGUAUAGACAGUAGCCCCUACAGUGAGACCAGUGGUAGCAACUCCCCUGUGAUGUCACCACACGACGUGGACGGUAGCAAAAGUCCGACAACUGCAGGUGAAGCCUGUCUUGGAAUACCAGAGGAUCAGCUACCGUACACCCUUGGUGUAACAGAGACCACACCCUACGCCUGCCAGUUCUGUGACAAGGCAUUUGGACGUCUUAGCCAUCUGAAGAAACAUGAGCAGGUCCAUGGUGACCAGAUGCCAUACAGGUGUGAUUUCUGCCAGAGAUUGUUCAAACACAAGCGUAGCAGGGACAGGCAUGUGAAACUGCACACUGGGGACAAGAAGUACAAGUGUCUGCACUGUGACUCUGCAUUCUCAAGGAGUGACCACCUGAAGAUUCAUAUGAAGACCCACGACACAGCCAAGCCUUACCAGUGUGUGGAGUGCAAUCGAGGAUACACCACUCCUGCUGCGCUCACAUCACACAUGAUCAGCCACAUCAAGACCAGCCAGUCUGAGGAUGGGUUUACUGUGGAUGAGGAGCACCUGCAGAAUAACAAGGACCAUGACAAGGUGGCAGAGAUACUACACUGCAGUCGGUGUAAGGAUUCUUUUGCUACUUGGAACGACUUGGAGAGACACCUGAUCAAGGCACACUCAGAGAAGAGCCCUGACAAACAUGUCUGCCCUGUCUGCAAGGAAGCCUUCGACUCCUCAGAUGCCCUGUGCACUCACAUCAAGGGUCAUGCUGUCAUGACCUCACCCAGCAUCUCUGACGAUGCUCCUAGCUCCAAGAGGCCCAGGUUGACACCAAAAUCAGUGAAUUUGAGUGUCACUGAGAAGAGUGGUGGGGACAACGCCUGUCCGUACUGCUCCAAAAAGUACCCGAGUUUGGAAGUGCUGGAGAUUCAUAUUCACACAAUGCAUGAGGGUAAGCCGACCUUGAUCUACGACUGCCAUUACUGCGGAGCUGUCUUCCCAUCAUCCUAUGUCCUAAAUGAGCACAUACAGCUGUCACAUGAUGGCCGAACCACACCCAUUUUCCCCUGUGAGUUCUGCACCAUGGAUUUCACUGGGAGUGAAGCACUGGAAUAUCACAUGAAUAAUGUGCACAACUUUCUCCCAGAUAACAGUGAGAGUGCAUUCUGUUCGCAGUGUAACGCUGGUUUUCCUAACAGUGCCACGCUGGCUGAUCAUGUCCAGAAGAUCCACAGUGGGGGGUCCUCUUUAAAAGUGCCAGACAUCAGCAAGUAUGUCCACCAGAAGGGCAGCAAAUCUGGCGGAAAGAGCUCACGGAAGGAUAAAAAUGGUGACCGAUUUGAUGACACAAGUCGUGCUUCAACAGGCACACACCCUAACUCAUCCCGCUCCCCUACCAACACCAACAAUGCCACCGCCUCCGCUGAUGCCUUGAUCUGUGACCAGUGCCUGUCUUCCUUCGACACCUUUGAUGCCUACGCCAGCCACAUGCAGACCCACCUGGACAAGGGAUCCCAGGGAGGCCACCUGCAUAUCUGCCACCAGUGUGGGUCAGACUUCACCUCGGAGGACCAGCUGGAGGCCCACUCUCUGUCCCACUACCUGAACCUGACCACAGAGUUUGGCUGUACUAGCUGCCUGAAGCUGUUCUCCAAGCCUGAUGAGCUGCAGAAACACCUGAUGGAUAUCCAUGCACAUCACCUGUACAGGUGCUCUCUGUGUAAGGAGACCUUUGAUUCCAAGGUGAAUGUCCAGGUCCACUUUGCCAUCAAGCACAGUAAUGAGUGUAAGUUGUACCAGUGUACUGCCUGUACCACGAUAUUCAGGUCAGAGAUGGAGUGGCAACUCCAUGUCAAAGUUAACCAUCUCCACAUCACCAAGCCUUAUAGGUGCCUCUUUUGUAAGGACAGUUUCUCAGCAGAACUGGAUCUCCAGAUGCACCUGACUAGCCACAAGAAGGAGUUCAUGUGUCCAGCCUGCAAUGAGGCCUUCCACGUGGAGUUCCUACUGGACAAACACAUCCAGGACAAACAUGCUGAUUCCACCAGCUCCGCGGCUCCCACGCCCCAACUGGCAUCUCCAGUUGCCCCUCCUCCUCCUCAAACACCAACCCCCAAACUGAAAGAGAACAGCAACUCCAACUCAGAUGUGAUUGAUCUCAGCAACAGUGUCAUGGCUCUGCCCAGUCCCCAGCUGGUACAGCAGCUUCACCAGCAGCUGUCACUUAGCAACCACCAGCACCACCACCACCAAGGAGGUCAAGGUCACAGGUCAAGGUCAAGUAACAGGAUGAGGGAGAUUUACCAGUGUGAACUGUGCGAUGCCAAGUUCAGCAAUGACCUGUCUUUUCAGAACCAUUAUGUCUACAAACACAGUCUCAAAGCUCCUAUGGAGAAAUACCAGAAAGGGUCUGUCUCAUCAGCUGGUUCUAUGGCAACGUCGGUGUCAUCUUCACAGAACAGCCUGGUUCCUAGUGAGAAGUACUCCCAUCGCUGUGUGUACUGCAAUCAGACCUUCAAGACCAAGUCUGAGCUGGAGAAACAUACCAAGACUCAUGGUACCUCCAGCAGCCAUAAGUGUAAGGUGUGUGAUGAAGUCUUCCCCAGUGUCAACAUUCUGGCUGAGCACAAGUUGAGCCACUGCAAGGUGGGCCAGGCCAACACAUGUGCAGUGUGCAGGCUGAUGCUGAGAAAUGAGGAGCAUUUCUACUCCCACACCCAGAGCCAUGGGGUGAAGGGAGGCAGCACGCAGUGUAUUGUGUGCAGGCAGACUUUGACGUCUGUUGUAGAACUUCAGAUGCAUGCGAGGCAUCACUUCAGGGAAACCCUGGCAACGUUCACGUGCUGUGUGUGCCUGAAGAGCUACGACUCCAAGGAGAACCUCAUCACCAAGGUGAACAGCAGCGGCAGGGAGUAUUAUGUCUGUAAGAUGUGUUACCAUGGCAACGGAGCAGGCAGCCCCCAGCCCACCCACUACACCUGCCGAGUGUGCCUGAAGAUCUUCUCCAACACUGACAACAUGGUCAGCAAGCUCAAUGCCAGUGGGAAGGAGUACCACAUAUGUAAGCAGUGUUACCAUGGCAACCAGGACGUGGACCCAUGCAAGAUGUCGCCACAGUUCUACACCUGUUGUGCCUGUCUGAAGACCUACGAAACCAAGGACAGUCUAGUCUCAAGGUUGAACUCCAGCGGACGGGAAUAUUUCGUGUGUAACUUGUGUUACUAUGGCAACCAGAAGGCAGAAGUAAAGAAAGAGCACAGGUGUCCAGUGUGCAGUGUCAAGUUUGAGUCUCAGGCGUUACUGGACGUCCAUGCUACUGUACACAACAAAAAGACAUACCAGUGCAUAAAGUGUCAGCAGUCGUUUGCGACAGAGUACGAGAUCCAGGUUCACGUGGCCACGCAUAUGAUGCAGGAGGGGACAAUACUGGACUGCAGACUAUGUGGACGUGCCUUUGAAUCCCCGGCCAAGCUCCAGUGCCACCUGAUUGAACACUCCUACGAGCCUGGCUGGUACCACUGUUAUAUCUGUGAGCGGACCUUCGACCAGGCUGUGGACAUUCAGAACCACGUCCUGGAGCAUGAGAACAGCUUGAGGAAGUUUGCAUGCACGCAGUGCAGCCAGUCAUUCUUUUUUAGUGGAGAGCUACAGAAUCAUCUAUACACACACGCCAAGGAGCUGAAGUCCCCCUCCUCUGGGCAAAGGCGGAGAAGUAGAUCUGGUGUGCGAGCCGAUGAGGGGUCGUCUCCUGUAUCAGGAAGGCAGGGCCUCGUAGCCUACCAGUCUAGUUCGUCUCCCAGUGAAGGGCUAGCUAGUGGAGGGCUGGUGGGUAAGAUGGAUGGAGAGAGGGGCGAGGCAGGGAACACACAGGACACACAGGACCAGGAGACAGAGAGAGACACGUUCCAGGCUACUGGGUAUGAGAAUCUCCAGCAUGUGCUCCUGGCACCUCCCUCACAGCAACAGAAGUCAGUGGCGGCAGAGUUUCACUGUCCUGACUGCAACAAGACUUUCCUUGAUGUUGGCAGCCUGAGUAGCCAUAUAAAGCAGCAUGAGAAGAGGGAGAUAUUCAAGUGUUCUCUGUGCCCUCAGAUCUUCCCAGACAGCCUGAGCUUCCAGCAGCACUUCAUCCUCACCCACGCCAGUGUGAACUCAGACAAGGGUCAGGGCAGCUAUAACUGUCCAGAUUGUGAGCUAGACUUUACCAGUCUGCCUCUGCUGCAGGCUCACAUGAGGACUCAUAGCUCUGGUGAGUGGAGUGAAGUGAUCCAAGUAAAACUAGAGAGCUCUCAAGUAGCACAGACAUUACACAUUGAUAUUGUAGAAUUAUUCUUUUAUUUAGAGACUAAAUAACACAUGUUAUAUAGUGUCUAACUAAAAGAUAAUGCUGUUGUAUCAUUCCAUCUAGGGACUUUGAAAAACCUCCUUCAUAGUACCUGAAGUAUUGAUUCUGUUUUAUUGAAUUUUAUUCAAGUAAUUUACUUUUUUGAAGAGGAAGAGUGGAAACCCAGUAAGUUUUAAAUGUAAUAUACAUUUGAUCACUAAAGGAAUUGUUUCUAAUUAGGAAAAGAAAACUGCAAGACUCCUUCCAACAGCGACAAGGCAGCAGCCAAUGCCUCUGCACCAUCUAAAGACUUCAGCUGUUCUGUGUGUGAGAAAACAUUCUCCAAGAGAAAUCAUCUGAAGGAACACAUGCAGGCACACUUCACCAAGCAGUCUAAUAAUUAUUGGUGUGAGUUGUGCAGUGAAAGUUUCACCACAGCAAAAUACCUGAGGCGGCACUUGAUUGCUGUCCACCACAAGACCUUCGAUAAUGUCUGUAAACUCUGCAAUGAGUCUUUUACCUUGGCCAAAAACCUCAAACGUCACAUGCAUCGCGUGCACGCAGUGGGGAAGAAUGGAUCACCCAUGAAUUCUAUCAUGGGAUGUGAGGCGUCGUCAUCAGCGAGUCAAAGUCCAGAGUGUGAGGAGACACAGGAUUUGCCAGGCAGUAAUGAAAAUGGCGGAAGAGAAAGCCCAUUGGCUGCUGCAAGUUGCCAUGACGACAGCUCUCAGUUUGGGGUGAAAGAGCAAAGUUCAUGCAGCACAGAGGAUGAUUUGACCCAGGAGGAAGCCACAACCUCCGAGACCAGUUUGUGAAAGAGGAAACACAUCUAGGGCUAUGAAAAACAAAUGAUCAUUUUUAAGUCACCAAGACAUGGAGAAAAAUGAACCAGGAUAUUUUUUAAUUUCAAGCUGUUGAACUCAGACUCAUUUUAAAUUGAAGACCUUAUAUGGCAUGAAUAUACCCCUUUAACUCUAUGUAAUGUUUAAUUUUUAUUUUUAAGGGGUGCAGUGUCAGUAGAAUAUUUUAUGGCUCAACUCAUGAUACAGUUGGGGAAAGCAAUCUGCCAUGUAAGCAAUUGGUCCUAUUCAAGAUGACGCCUUUAAACUAAUAAAAUCAUAAGUGAUAAGUUCCUAGCUCUUUUGGACAAGAGAAAAAUUUCAGCAGUUGCUUUUCUAUUAUCUAUGGAUUUCAAUUACAUACGAGUUAAUUUUGAUUCAGACUUAAAAUUGUCUGAGGUCUGCUAGUCUUACUGGGCUGAAAUGGGCAAAGUGCAGACCAGGAAAGUAAUCUUUUGAGUGUUUUAUGCAUGCUUGUAAUCACAGUAAAACCUCAUGUCAGUGGAGUUGUACUUUCAGGAUAAAAUAGAUGGCCCCCAGUUCCUGCUUUGUGUCUAAUAUAUGUAAAAGAUUCAACUGAUCCUCAGAAUCUUGAAUCCAAUAACAAGUGCCUUGUAUUAUACAGUAUGUUGCUUACAUGUAUGAUAUGCAUGUGGCUAAUGAACAUAUUAUUCUCAUUCUUAAUGAUAAAAAAUGCCAUAAGAGAAAGAUAUUUUCCCAUUAUAUAUUGUUCAUAUUUAUUUAAUUUUAAAUAUUUUCUCCAGUGUUGUAGUUGGAGAGGGGGGUAGUAUGAGAAUAGAAUCAAUACUCAGAAUAGUAUUAGUACUUUAAAAUCAUAUGAAAUUUAAGCACUUAUAUUUGUAGUAUGAUCUCAUUAAUUACAACUGUAUUGUAGGCUCACUCAGUGUAUACAUAUAGAAAUAAUUUUAUUAUUUUUUCAACCAAUAUUGUUAAGGCUGAAAGUCUUGAAUGUUGUUUGUAUUUUGUAUAGAAGGAAAUUAUACAGGUAGCACAUAGCAGAUGAAAGAGUAUAUUGUUUCAUUGUUCUAAACAGUGUGGCUUGCUUGAAUAAAAUUAUU